UGGGGAAUUUUGGACAAUGGAGGAAACUCUGAUCCAGCAAUACCGCGUGAGUGAAGAAGGCCUUCGGGUUGUAAAGCUCUUUUGUUGAAGAAAAAUACUCGUGCAAACGAGGAUGAUGGUAUUCAAAGAAAAGCACCGGCUAACUACGUGCCAGCAGCCGCGGUAAUACGUAGGGUGCGAGCGUUAAUCGGAAUAACUGGGCGUAAAGGGUGAGUAGGCGGUUUAGUAAGAUAGUUGUGAAAUUCCCGCGCUUAACGUGGGGACUGCGGCUAUGACUGCUAAACUAGAAUAGAACAGAGGAAAGUGGAAUUCCACGUGUAGCAGUGAAAUGCGUAGAGAUGUGGAGGAACACCAAUGGCGAAGGCAGCUUUCUGGGUUACUAUUGACGCUCAGUCACGAAAGCGUGGGGAGCAAACAGGAUUAGAUACCCUGGUAGU
rnacentral:rRNA from 1 species